rnacentral:rRNA from 1 species
GACGAGCCACACAAACGUUAUUCGGAAUUACUGGGCUUAAAGGGUGCGUAGGCUGCGCGGCAAGUUGGGUGUGAAAUCCCUCGGCUCAACCGAGGAACUGCGCCCAAAACUGCCGUGCUCGAGGAAGAUAGAGGUAAGCGGAACUUACGGUGGAGCGGUGAAAUGCGUUGAUAUCAGAAGGAACGCCGGUGGCGAAAGCGAAGGACUGGACCUCUUCUGACGCUGAGGCGCGAAAGCUAGGGGAGCAAACGGG